rnacentral:tRNA from 2 species
GGUCGAGUCUACCGUAUCGACAGACUCAUAAUCCGUCGGUCGUGGGUUCAAGCCCCACCUGGCCCACCC